rnacentral:rRNA from 1 species
AGUGAACGCUGGCGGUAGGCCUAACACAUGCAAGUCGAACGGCAGCACAGUAAGAGCUUGCUCUUACGGGUGGUGAGUGGCGGACGGGUGAGGAAUACAUCGGAAUCUACUUUUUCGUGGGGGAUAACGUAGGGAAACUUACGCUAAUACCGCAUACGACCUACGGGUGAAAGCAGAGGAUCUUCGGACCUUGCGCGAUUGAAUGAGCCGAUGUCGGAUUAGCUAGUUGGCGGGGUAAAGGCCCACCAAGGCGACGAUCCGUAGCUGGUCUGAGAGGAUGAUCAGCCACACUGGAACUGAGACACGGUCCAGACUCCUACGGGAGGCAGCAGUGGGGAAUAUUGGACAAUGGGCGCAAGCCUGAUCCAGCCAUACCGCGUGGGUGAAGAAGGCCUUCGGGUUGUAAAGCCCUUUUGUUGGGAAAGAAAAGCAGCAGGUUAAUACCCCGCUGUUCUGACGGUACCCAAAGAAUAAGCACCGGCUAACUUCGUG